rnacentral:rRNA from 1 species
CAGUCGCCGCGGGAACACGUAGGGUGCGAGCGUUAAUCGGAAUUACUGGGCGUAAAGCGUGCGCAAGCGGUUGUGUAAGACAGGUGUGAAAUCCCCGGGCUUAACCUGGGAACUGCGCUUGUGACUGCACAGCUAGAGUAUGGCAGAGGGGGGUGGAAUUCCACGUGUAGCAGUGAAAUGCGUAGAGAUGUGGAGGAACACCGAUGGCGAAGGCAGCCCCCUGGGCCAAUACUGACGCUCAUGCACGAAAGCGUGGGGAGCAAACAGGAUUAGAUACCCCCGUAGUCCCUGUCUCUUAUAC